rnacentral:lncRNA from 1 species
AACAAUCUGAUUAUUCAUUUCUCCUCCCCUCCUUUUCGAAAUGAUUAGGCUGCCUGCAGUACUUCUUUCCAAAAUCAAAUCUAUUCCAAGUUGAUUAGCUUGGCUCUAUCCACCGGCAAUACUGAAAGUGACAUAUACCAUAUUUCUUCAAGAUAGUAGUGAACCUAGGCUCCACAUAUCUGCCAGAGCCCUCGUGUGCUUGACUUCAUAAUGGUAUUUUUAGUUUCUAGUAAUUUGGAAAAAGGUGAUGGGUGAUAAAGUCAGAAAUAAAGUGUAACAAUAUGGUAUCCAGCUCCAUCUAUAUAUAACACCUAGGAAAUGUAUAGAAAAGUGAAUUUCCAUUCCAAUAACACCUGUGACAUUUAGACAUUGUAUAGGAUUUCUGCUUUCAGUCUAUGCCUGUAUCAUAUGCAUGAACUAGUUUUCUCUAAAUUUAGUCAGAGACCUUCAGCUAGUCAGACACUCAGAGGGUAUAUGGUGCAGUGAAUCAUAAAUGUCUGUGCAUUUAUAGCUUCUGUAAUUCUUGUUGGUAAAUGGGUUAAUAAAAUCAGUAUCAUAUUUGGAAAAACUUAGAAACCUCAAACCAUGAAACUCAAUGGAAACUUUAGUUAUAUAAGACUUUCACUUUACAAUGCAGUUGUCAUUCUUGGUCCUGACUAUGGUUUAUAUAUUAUAUCUUCUGGGGUAGGCUUGCAUUUAUGAACUUGGAGAUAAUUUUCUCAUGAAUACAGUAAAUAUCUUUGAUUUCCAUUUAAUGAUCUAGCCAAAACAUGGCAGAAGUUCCUUCAUAUCGUUCACCAACCAUUGUUCUAGAUGUCUCUCCUGGCAACAUUCCAUUUAGGAAGCAAAGCUAUUUUACAUUUUAUACUUCUUCUAUAUAAAAUACUAGUAACGUGUUAAAAGCUCUCAAACCCCUUGGCAACUGUACUCUUGGUAAUAGCUAUAUUUAAAAAAUUAAAAAUAAACAUUAUGAUGAUUUUAAAGC